UGGAAGCCACUGAAAAAAUAAUGUGACU
rnacentral:piRNA from 1 species